GAAACUGGCUUUCUGAAGCCGGAAAAAGGCUUCAAUACUUUGGCUAAUCGUCGAGUUUCAGUUUGAUAUCGGUACAAGUUUUCUGUACGCAUGAUUGCGACAAGAAAUGAUGUAUAGUUUUUGAGAUAAUGUCCAUGAUCGUCUGGAUAUGUUGCUAGCGUUUAGACGAAUAUUAAGAUUGUCGUUUGCCUAUUCUUGACGAUUUGCAGAAGUUUUUUGAAGUUUGGGAGUAUAUGAGUAUAGUAUACGUACCUACUCCCCUUCUUUUUUUUUUUUUACGAAAGAAAAACGGUUGAACCGAUACUUUGAAGGGUUGUGUAUGUUUCCUCUUCUGAUGUUUGAUAUGAUUGAUAAUUCAGGACGAUUUAUAGACGACGCUUGGACUGUGAUUUGGUUGUUUCCACGUUGACGACUUGGGAUAUGUCGGUUCCGAGAAAAUUGCCAGAAACGAAUCUGUUUUAAGACGAUGUUCAUGUCUCUAACUUUUUCUCUCUUUAGGAAGCGAGCUUGAUAUGCGUGGCGAUCGUUUCUCGACUUUCGGAGAGUUUAGAUCGGUUUGCAAAAUCUUAGUUCUCUCGAAGAUGCAGUUUUGUCCCUUCUCAGUUUUGCGUGCUCAUUUCCGUUUCCUAUUCUCGUGUAUGUUCGCCAUUUCCGAUAUUGGUGUUUAUCCUUUGAAACUUGACAUUUAUCUUCCGAACUUGACUGUUAUCUUCUCCUUAGAUAAGACGUCGAU
rnacentral:lncRNA from 1 species